rnacentral:tRNA from 1 species
AAAUAAGAAGCAAAAAAUUUUGUAAUUAGUUUCGACCUAAUCCUAGAUGUUAAUUCAUCCUUAUUUA